CAGAAGGAAAAAGAAAAUCACAGAAUUUGAAAGUUGGAAGAGAUAUCUACAGCCAUCUAGUCCAGCCUUUACUUGAAGUAAUCCCCACUAUAACAAACCCAACAAUUGACUGUCCAGCCUCUGCCUGAAGACCUCCAAAAAGGGAGAACUCACCACCUCUUGAGGCAAGCCAUUCAUUCUAUUUUUAAAUAUUUCUAUUGUUGGGCAGUUUUUCCUGAUAUCAAGCCUAAACUGGCCUCCUUUCAAUUUCUACCCAUUUCUCUGAAUUCACCCAUCAGGGACUGAACAGAACAAGUAUAAUCCCUCCUCCACAUCGGCUCUUCAAACACUUGAAGACGACUGCCAUGUUCUCCCUGAAUCUUCUUCAGGUUAAAUGUGCCCUCUUCCUUCAUAUGGUGCUCCUAUGAAAUAGACUCAAAUCUCUUCACCGUCCUGGUUGCCUACCACUGGACACUCUUCAGCUUCUCAAUGUCCUGAAAUGUUGGUUCCCUGAACUAAAGAUAAUACUCCAGAUGAGGUCUGACAAGGGCAGAAGGUCUUGAAACUCCAAACCUUCUUCUCACCCAAUCCGCCCAAGUCCUAGGUUUUGCAAGAUUGAGCAGCUUGCAGACAGCUGCUGACUGUCUUCAAUGCCUGCAACGUAUUCCGUCUUCACCUCCACAUCUAAGAGGCUCUGGUGUCCCUCCAGACUCAACUCAAGC